UACGGAGGGUGCAAGCGUUGUCCGGAAUUAUUGGGCGUAAAGAGCUCGUAGGCGGUCUGUCGCGUCGAAUGUGAAAACCCGGGGCUCAACCCCGGGCCUGCAUUCGAUACGGGCAGACUAGAGUUCGGUAGGGGAGUCUGGAAUUCCUGGUGUAGCGGUGAAAUGCGCAGAUAUCAGGAGGAACACCGGUGGCGAAGGCGGGACUCUGGGCCGAUACUGACGCUGAGGAGCGAAAGCGUGGGGAGCAAACAGG
rnacentral:rRNA from 1 species